rnacentral:rRNA from 2 species
CUAUACUGCAAGUCGAGCGGACAGAUGGGAGCUUGCUCCCUGAUGUUAGCGGCGGACGGGUGAGUAACACGUGGGUAACCUGCCUGUAAGACUGGGAUAACUCCGGGAAACCGGGGCUAAUACCGGAUGGUUGUUUGAACCGCAUGGUUCAAACAUAAAAGGUGGCUUCGGCUACCACUUACAGAUGGACCCGCGGCGCAUUAGCUAGUUGGUGAGGUAACGGCUCACCAAGGCAACGAUGCGUAGCCGACCUGAGAGGGUGAUCGGCCACACUGGGACUGAGACACGGCCCAGACUCCUACNGGAGGCAGCAGUAGGGAAUCUUCCGCAAUGGACGAAAGUCUGACGGAGCAACGCCUCGUGAGUGAUGAAGGUUUUCGGAUCGUAAAGCUCUGCUGUUAGGGAAGAACAAGUACCGUUCGAAUAGGGCGGUACCUUGACGGUACCNAACCAGAAAGCCACGGCUAACUACGUGCCAGCAGCCGCGNCAAUACGUAUGUGGCAAGCGUUGCCCGGAAUUAUUGGGCGUAAAGGGCUCGCACGCGGUUUUUUCACUCUGAUGCGAAAGCCCCCGGCUCCCCCCGGGACGGUCAUUGUCAACUGUCCCACUUCCCUGCAUAAUA